rnacentral:rRNA from 1 species
UACGUAGGGUGCAAGCGUUGUCCGGAAUUAUUGGGCGUAAAGAGCUCGUAGGCGGUUUGUCGCGUCUGCUGUGAAAUCUGGGGGCUCAACCCCCAGCCUGCAGUGGGUACGGGCAGGCUAGAGUUUGGUAGGGGAGACUGGAAUUCCUGGUGUAGCGGUGAAAUGCGCAGAUAUCAGGAGGAACACCGGUGGCGAAGGCGGGUCUCUGGGCCGAUAUUGACGCUGAGGAGCGAAAGCGUGGGGAGCGAACAGG